rnacentral:rRNA from 1 species
UACAGAGGGUGCGAGCGUUAAUCGGAAUCAUUGGGCGUAAAGCGCGCGUAGGUGGCUUCGUAAGUCCGUUGUGAAAGUCAAAGGCUCAACCUUUGAAAGCCGAUGGAUACUGUGAAGCUAGAGUACGGAAGAGGCGAGUGGAAUUCCUGGUGUAGCGGUGGAAUGCGCAGAUAUCAGGAGGAACACCAAUGGCGAAGGCAGCUCGCUGGGACGUGACUGACGCUGAGACGCGAAAGCGUGGGGAGCAGACAGG